CGGCGAUACCCGAAUGGGGAAACCCAGUGUGACUCGUCACACUAUCAUUAACUGAAUCCAUAGGUUAAUGAGGCGAACCGGGGGAACUGAAACAUCUAAGUACCCCGAGGAAAAGAAAUCAACCGAGAUUCCCCCAGUAGCGGCGAGCGAACGGGGAGGAGCCCAGAGCCUGAAUCAGCAUGUGUGUUAGUGGAAGCGUCUGGAAAGGCGCGCGAUACAGGGUGACAGCCCCGUACACAAAAGCGCAUGUGCUGUGAGCUCGAUGAGUAGGGCGGGACACGUGGUAUCCUGUCUGAAUAUGGGGGGACCAUCCUCCAAGGCUAAAUACUCCUGACUGACCGAUAGUGAACCAGUACCGUGAGGGAAAGGCGAAAAGAACCCCGGCGAGGGGAGUGAAAAAGAACCUGAAACCGU
rnacentral:rRNA from 3 species